rnacentral:tRNA from 1 species
CGGCUGGUGCGGCACGGUUCGCGUUGUCAUCCCUGAGGGGGAUGGUGGUGGUACUGCUCGACGCAGCGCUGGUUGA